rnacentral:tRNA from 1 species
GCCUGGGUGGCUCAGUCAGUUGAGCCUCUGACUUUGGCUCAGGUCGUGAUCUCCCUGUUCCCAGGUUCGAACCCUGUGUCAGGCU